CCUACGGGAGGCAGCAGUAGGGAAUUUUCCGCAAUGGGCGAAAGCCUGACGGAGCAAUACCGCGUGAGGGAUGACGGCCUGUGGGUUGUAAACCUCUUUUCUCAAGGAAGAAGUUCUGACGGUACUUGAGGAAUAAGCAUCGGCUAACUCUGUGCCAGCAGCCGCGGUAAUACAGAGGAUGCAAGCGUUAUCCGGAAUCACUGGGCAUAAAGCGUCUGUAGGUUGUUUAGUAAGUCUGCUGUUAAAGACUGGGGCUUAACCCCAGAAAAGCAGUGGAAACUGCUAGACUCGAGUGUGGUAGAGGUAGAGGGAAUUCCUAGUGUAGCGGUGAAAUGCGUAGAUAUUAGGAAGAACACCAACGGCGAAGGCACUCUACUGGGCCAUAACUGACACUGAGAGACGACAGCUAGGGGAGCAAACGGGAUUAGAUACCCCGGUAGUCCUAGCCGUAAACGAUGGAUACUAGAUGUUGCACGUAUUAACCCGUGCAGUAUCGUAGCUAAGGCGUUAAGUAUCCCGCCUGGGAAUCGCUCGCAAAGAGAGAACGACAAUAAGUAAGUUAGUUACGGCGUGAGACGUGCCGACGGCGACGACGAGGGAGGAGG
rnacentral:rRNA from 1 species